rnacentral:rRNA from 1 species
UGGGGAAUAUUGCACAAUGGGCGCAAGCCUGAUGCAGCGACGCCGCGUGGGGGAUGACGGCCUUCGGGUUGUAAACUCCUUUCGCUAGGGACGAAGCUUUUUGUGACGGUACCUAGAUAAGAAGCACCGGCUAACUACAUGCCAGCAGCCGCGGUAAUACGUAGGGUGCGAGCGUUGUCCGGAAUUACUGGGCGUAAAGGGCUCGUAGGUGGUUUGUCGCGUCGUCUGUGAAAUUCCGGGGCUUAACUCCGGGCGUGCAGGCGAUACGGGCAUAACUUGAGUACUGUAGGGGUAACUGGAAUUCCUGGUGUAGCGGUGAAAUGCGCAGAUAUCAGGAGGAACACCGAUGGCGAAGGCAGGUUACUGGGCAGUUACUGACGCUGAGGAGCGAAAGCAUGGGUAGCGAACAGG